AGUGAACGCUGGCGGUAGGCCUAACACAUGCAAGUCGAACGGCAGCACAGUAAGAGCUUGCUCUUACGGGUGGCGAGUGGCGGACGGGUGAGGAAUACAUCGGAAUCUACUUUUUCGUGGGGGAUAACGUAGGGAAACUUACGCUAAUACCGCAUACGACCUACGGGUGAAAGCAGGGGAUCUUCGGACCUUGCGCGAUUGAAUGAGCCGAUGUCGGAUUAGCUAGUUGGCGGGGUAAAGGCCCACCAAGGCGACGAUCCGUAGCUGGUCUGAGAGGAUGAUCAGCCACACUGGAACUGAGACACGGUCCAGACUCCUACGGGAGGCAGCAGUUGGGAAUAUUGGACAAUGGGCGCAAGCCUGAUCCAGCCAUACCGCGUGGGUGAAGAAGGCCUUCGGGUCGUAAAGCCCUUUUGUUGGGAAAGAAAAGCAGCAGGUUAAUACCCCGCUGUUCUGACGGUACCCAAAGAAUAAGCACCGGCUAACUUCGUG
rnacentral:rRNA from 1 species